ensembl:lncRNA
GGAGACAGAGGGAGAGAGGGAUGGAGAGAUGAAGAGAGAGAGGGGUGGAGACAGAGGCAGAGAGGGAUGGAGAGAUGAAGAGAGAAGUGGAGACAGAGGGAGAGAGAGAUGGAGAGAUGAUGAGAGAGAUGGUUGGAGACAGAGGGAGAGAGAGAUGAAGAGAGAGAGAGGGGUGGAGACAGAGGCAGAGAGGGAUGUUGAGAUGAAGAGAGAGAGAGGUGGAGACAGAGGGAGAGAGGGAUGGAGAGAUGAAGAGAGAGAGAGGGGUGGAGACAGAGGGAGAGAGGGGUGAAGAGAUGAAGGAGAGAGGUGGAGACAGAGGGAGAGAGGGAUGGAGAGAUGAAGAGAGAGAGAGGUGGAGACAGAGGGAGAGAGAGAUGGAGAGAUGAAGGAGAGAGGUGGAGACAGAAAAAGAGAGGGAUGAAGAGAGAAGUGGAGAGAGAGGGGUGGAGACAGAGGGAGAGAGGGAUGGAGAGAUGAAGGAGAGAGGUGGAGACAGAAGGAGAGAGGGAUGGAGAGAUGAAGGAGAGAGGUGGAGACAGAAGGAGAGAGGGAUGGAGAGAUGAAGGAGAGAGGUGGAGACAGAAGGAGAGAGGGAUGGAGAGAUGAAGGAGAGAGGUGGAGACAGAAGGAGAGAGGGAUGGAGAGAUGAAGUAGAGGGGUGGAGACAGAGGGAGAGAGGGAUGGAGAGAUUUUUUAUUUAUUUUUAUUUUACCUUUAUUUAACCAGGUAGGCUAGUUGAGAACAAGUUCUCAUUUACAACUGCGACCUGGCCAAGAUAAAGCAUAGCAGUGUGAACAGACAACACAGAGUUACACAUGGAGUAAACAAUUAACAAGUCAAUAACACAGUAGAAAAAAAAGAAAGAGUCUAUAUACAAUGUGUGCAAAAGGCAUGAGGAGGUAGGCAAAUAAUUACAAUUUAGCAGAUUAACACUGGAGUGAUAAAUGAUCAGAUGGUCAUGUACAGGUAGAGAUACUGGUGUGCAAAAGAGCAUAAAAUAAAAUAAAUAAAAACAGUAUGGGGAUGAGGUAGGUAAAUUGGGUGGGCUAUUUACCAAUGGACUAUGUACAGCUGCAGCGAUCGGUUAGCUGCACAGAUAGCAGAUGUUUAAACUUGGUGAGGGAGAUAAAAGUCUCCAACUUCAGCGAUUUUUGCAAUUCGUUCCAGUCACAGGCAGCAGAGAACUGGAAGGAAAGGUGGCCAAAAGAGGUGUUGGCUUUAGGGAUGAUCAGUGAGAUACACCUGCUGGAGCACGUGCUACGGGUGGGUGUUGCCAUCGUGACCAGUGAACUGAGAUAAGGCGGAGCUUUACCUAGCAUGGGCUUGUAGAUGACCUGGAGCCAGUGGGUCUGGCGAUGAAUAUGUAGCGAGGGCCAGCCGACUAGAGCAUACAGGUCGCAGUGGUGGGUGGUAUAAGGUGCUUUAGUAACAAAAUGGAUGGCACAGUGAUAAACUGCAUCCAGUUUGCUGAGUAGAGUAUUGGAAGCUAUUUUGUAGAUGACAUCGCCGAAGUUGAGGAUCGGUUUGGCGGCGUGAGUGAAGGAGGCUUUGUUGCGAAAUAGAAAGCCGACUCUAGAUUUGAUUUCAGAUUGGAGAUGUUUGAUAUGAGUCUGGAAGGAGAGUUUGCAGUCUAGCCAGACACCUAGGUACUUAUAGAUGUCCACGUAUUCUAGGUCGGAACCAUUCAGGGUGGUGAUGCUAGUCGGGCGUGCGGGUGCAGGCAGCAAACGGUUGAAAAGCAUGCAUUUGGUUUUACUAGCAUUUCAGAGCAGUUGGAGGCCACGGAAGGAGUGUUGUAUGGCAUUGAAGCUCGUUUGGAGGUUAGAUAGCACAGUGUCCAAGGAAGGGCCAGAAGUAUACAGAAAGGUGUCGUCUGCGUAGAGGUGGAUCAGGGAAUCUCCCGCAGCAAGAAUAACAUCAUUGAUAUAUACAGAGAAAAGAGUCGGCCCGAGAAUUGAACCCUGUGGCACCCCCAUAGAUACUGCCAGAGGACCGGACAACAUGCCCUCCGAUUUGACACACUGAACUCUAUCUGCAAAGUAGUUGGUGAACCAGGCAAGGCAGUCAUUAGAAAACCGAGGCUACUGAGUCUGCCGAUAAGAAUAUAAUGAUUGACAGAGUCGAAAGCUUUGGCCAGGUCGAUGAAGACAGCUGCACAGUACUGUCUUUUAUCGAUGGCGGUUAUGAUAUCGUUUAGUACCUUGAGCGUGGCUGAGGUGCACCCGUGACCGGCUCGGAAACCAGAUUGCACGCGGAGAAGGUACGGUGGGAUUCGAGAUGAUCUGAUCUGUUUGUUAACUUGGCUUUCGAAGACCUUAGAUGGGCAUGGCAGGAUGGAUAUAGGUCUGUAACGUUUGGGUCCAGGGUUUCUCCCCCUUUGAAGAGGGGGAUGACAGCGGCAGCUUUCCAAGAGAGAGAGGGGUGGA